CUCUUAAAGACUCUUGGUCAAGAAGAGGAGACUUUCUGCAGUACCUCACUGGAGCAUUUAAAGGACUGAACACUAUACAGCAGUGAGACCUUUGCCUGGUCAUACACAGGAAAACAGUAUGACAAUCUAUUAAACAACUAGAGUACAAUGGGGAUAUCUUUAAAUUCAAAAGGGGAAAGAAUAUGGGAGCAGGUGACCUAGAUUUAUACAGCUGGAGGAGAGAGAACAUAGUAAAGCUACCUGAGCUCUUCAUACGUGAAAAAGUAUCGAAGCAGAUCUUUGACAGUAUUUGGAUGAAAGAAGAGACGGACAGAAGUCGUGGGAGAAUGAAAACUAAAGGUGUUGUGCUUUUUGCUUGUGUCAUCUUCAUGGUUUUCCUUAUAGUUGAAAUCGGGUGUGCUCCAAAGGGUAAAACCAUAGUGAGAAACUGGGGCCCACAAUCAAUUCUAUAUCUUAAAGGACGCUAUGGCAGGAGAUACACCUCUGAAAAGGAUGAACAGUAUUACAAGCUUAACCUGGAGGACUUCAGUGCAUUUUUUAAAAGUAAUUUCUGAAGAAAAGCAUGUAUAACUUGCAGGCUGUGUUCAACACCACUGAACAUUCUGAAAAUCAGAAGAUUUAAAGCCCAAAACAUGGGCAUUAGAUGUUUGGAAUAAAACAAAGCUUUUCUUUACUUGCUACAAACAUCUCAUCCUGAGAAACAAUAAUAAAAAUUGUAACUGAAUGUUAAUACUGCAAAUGUCAC
ensembl:lncRNA